CGUAGUUGGAUUUCGGUUGAGAGCGGCCGGUCCGCCGUUUGGUGUGCACUGGCUGGUCUCAACUUCCUGCGGAGGACGCGCUCUGGGCUUAACGGUCUGGACGUGGAGUCCGCGUGGUUACUUUGAAAAAAUUAGAGUGUUCAAAGCGGGCUUACGCUUGAAUAUUUCAGCAUGGAAUAACACUAUAGGACUCCUGUCCUAUUUCGUUGGUCUCGGGACGGGGGAAAUGAUUAAGAGGAACAGUUGGGGGCAUUCGUAUUUCAUUGUCAGAGGUGAAAUUCUUGGAUUUAUGAAAGACGAACCUCUGCGAAAGCAUUUGCCAAGGAUGUUUUCAUUAAUCAAGGACGAAAGUUGGGGGCUCGAAGAUGAUUAGAUACCAUCCUAGUCUCAACCAUAAACGAUGCCGACUAGGGAUUGGCGGAUGUUAAUUGAUGACUCCGCCAGCACCUUAUGAGAAAUCAAAGUUUUUGGGUUCCGGGGGGAGUAUGGUCGCAAGGCUGAAACUUAAAGGAAUUGACGGAAGGGCACCACCAGGCGUGGAGCCUGCGGCUUAAUUUGACUCAACACGGGGAAACUUACCAGGUCCAGACAUAUUAAGGAUUGACAGAUUGAGAGCUCUUUCUUGAUUCUAUGGGUGGUGGUGCAUGGCCGUUCU
rnacentral:rRNA from 1 species